rnacentral:rRNA from 1 species
AAAGUUGUUGCAGUUAAAAAGCUCGUAGUUGGACUUUAGGCGAGGUGGCCUGGUCUGCCGUCAGGCAGUACUGGGUUCGCCGAGCCUCACCUUCGGGGAACUAGUGCCUCGUGCGCUAGGGAACCGAGCCUUACUUUGAGAAAAUUAGAGUGUUUAAAGCAGGCUUACGCUUGAAUACUUCAGCAUGGAAUAACAACAUAGGACUUUGGUUCUAUUUUGUUGGUUUGAGGACCAAAGUAAUGAUUAAUAGGGACAGUUGGGGGCAUUAGUAUUCAGUAGUCAGAGGUGAAAUUCUUGGAUUUACUGAGGACUAACUAAUGCGAAAGCAUUUGCCAAGGAUGUUUUCAUUAAUCAAGAACGAAAGUUAGGGGAUCGAAGACGAUUAGAUACCGUCGUAGUCUUAACCAUAAACUAUGCCGACUAGGGAUCGGUGGAUGUCGCUUUUGACUCCAUCGGCACCUUACGAGAAAUCAAAGUUUUUGGGUUCUGGGGGGAGUAUGGUCGCAAGGCUGAAACUUAAAGGAAUUGACGGAAGGGCACCACCAGGAGUGGAGCCUGCGGCUUAAUUUGACUCAACACGGGAAAACUCACCAGGUCCGGACAUAGUAAGGAUUGACAGAUUGAGAGCUCUUUC